ensembl:lncRNA
ACGAAAUUCGAAUCCCAACAGGAAGUCAGUUAUUUUGAAUUUUCUCUGCAAAAUUUGUGUCGUUUUUGCCAUUUUCAGGGGUUGUACUUUAACGAACUCCUCCUAGAGAUUUAUUCAGAUCAACACCAAACUUUGUCAGUGUAAUCUAAAGGCCUUUGCGAUGUUAAAUUGCGAAGAUCUUGAGGUUUCGUUUAAGGGCGUGUCUGUGGCGGCCUUACAAAUUUCGAUGUUUCGCCAUGAGAAAGGAAGUUGCUAUAACUCAGACAUACAAUGUCCAAUCUGCCCCAAACUUCACAUGUUUGAGAAGACUCCUGACCUGAAUAUAUCUACAUGCCAAUAUUCAGAUAUCGCUAUAGCGCCACCUGCUGGCAACAGGAAGUGACAUGUUUUAUGCCGUAACAAACUACUCCUAGAAAUUUUAUGACAUUUUAUAAUUUUUUUUGGUCAGUCUAAUCUAAAGGCCUUUGCGAUGUUAAAUUGUGAACAUCUUGAGGUUUCAUUAAAGGGUGUGGCCAUGGCGCCGUGACAAAGUUUGAUGUCUCGCCAUGGGAAUAGAAGUUGUUGUAACUCAGGCAUAAGAUGUCCGAUCUUCCCCAAACUUCACAUGUUCGAAAAGAGUCUUGGCCUGAACACAUCUGAAGGUCAUUAUUCCACUAUAAUCAUAG